AUGUCCACCGUCGAGAUGGAGGUGUUCUCCAACGGGCAGCUCCUCGUCUUGACCGUCCUCAUGCUCGUCGGCGGCGAGGUGUUUCUAUCCCUCGUAAGCCUCGCGUCCAAGUGGUCCAAGCUGAGGAAGCAGGCUGCACACAAAUCCCGGCGCGUGGAGAUCCACCACGUCGCCGAGCUUGAGAUGCCGCCGGCCGCCGCCGCUGACAUCGAUAACCCAACGUCGUCUACCGCCGAUGAUGUGACGAGCAAGUCGUUGGAGCACGCACCUGACACGAGGCUGCGGCGCGACGCGGUGCGGUCGCUGUUCUUCGUCGUCCUCGCCAUCUUCCUUGUGGUGCACGUCCUCGGCGCCGGGGCCAUCGCGGCGUACAUCCUGCACGCGUCGCCGGCGGCGAGGCGGACGCUGCGGGACAAGGCCCUGAACGUGUGGACCUUCGCCGUGUUCACGACGGUGUCCACGUUCUCGAACUGCGGGUUCAUGCCGACGAACGAGAACAUGGCAGUGUUCCAGCGGGACACCGGGCUGCAGCUGCUGCUCGUGUCGCAGGUGCUGGUCGGGAACACGCUGUUCGCGCCGCCGCCGCGGCGACCAGGCGCGUGGAGCUCAAGGAGACUUUGA
rnacentral:rRNA from 1 species